rnacentral:lncRNA from 1 species
UUGUUCAUGUGAGGUCAGACGAGCUACAGACUGACCUGUGUUGUUCUGGUGAGGUCAGACUAGCACAGACUGACUGUGUUGUUCAUGGUGAGGUCAGACUGCAUGGUAGAGGGCAGAUCGUUCAUCCUGAGGGACAGCUGCCGUUUUGAAGGGAGAUGAGUUU